UACGUAGGGUGCGAGCGUUGUCCGGAAUUACUGGGCGUAAAGAGCUCGUAGGCGGUUUGUCGCGUCUGCUGUGAAAACUCGGGGCUUAACCCCGGGCCUGCAGUGGGGUACGGGCAGACUAGAGUGCGGUAGGGGAGACUGGAAUUCCUGGUGUAGCGGUGAAAUGCGUAGAUAUCUGGAGGAAUACCGGUGGCGAAGGCGGCAUCCUGGACCGACAUUGACGCUGAGGCGCGGAAAGCCCAGGGGAGCAAAGCGGGGAUUAGAAA
rnacentral:rRNA from 1 species